AAGAUUGGCCCCUGUAAUGGAAGACCCUAUGGCUGUUGUCGUGGGACUUCUUGGAACGACUCUAUUAAGAAAUGUACAGAAUGUAGCCCUGGAUAUUUCGGAUUACACUGUGAGAUGCCCUGUGAAUAUCCAUAUUAUGGACCAUUUUGUGUAAGGAAAUGUUUUUGCACAGAAUCAAAAUGCAAUGUUUCCUUUGGAUGUUCACAUCAUUUCUCUGAAACUGUCUCAACGACCACCACGAAUGAAGUGAUUACUACAGAGGACAAUAUUUUCUUCAAAUCUACAAGUGUGGAUGAUUUUGAAUCGGUUCCAAA